UUUCUCUCUGACACACACUAGAUGAAUUGUCUUUCUCUCUGACACACACUAGAUGAAUUGUCUUUCUCUCUCUGACACACUAGAUGAAUUGUCUUUCUCUCUGACACACUAGAUGAAUUGUCUUUCUCUCUCUGACACACACUAGAUGAAUUGUCUUUCUCUCUCUGACACACACUAGAUGAAUUGUCUUUCUCUCUGACACACUAGAUGAAUUGUCUUUCUCUCUCUGACACACACUAGAUGAAUUGUCUUUCUCUCUCUGACACACACUAGAUGAAUUGUCUUUCUCUCUGACACACACUAGAUGAAUUGUCUUUCUCUCUCUGACACACUAGAUGAAUUGUCUUUCUCUCUCUGACACACUAGAUGAAUUGUCUUUCUCUCUGACACACUAGAUGAAUUGUCUUUCUCUCUCUGACACACACUAGAUGAAUUGUCUUUCUCUCUGACACACUAGAUGAAUCGUCUUUCUCUCUCUAACCUUGUGGUGGUGGGAAGGACAUCUUGGUAAAACUAGAAUGGGGAGUGGGAACGAGGGACCCAAUCAGUUGUGAAUGAAAGAGAGGUGUGGUUUGAGGGGAGUGGUUGAUGAAACAUUGGAAAGUUACAGCUGUGCAAUAUUCAAUUGGGCACAACCAAUAAUGUAUAUAAACACUGGACACACAUCAUGUAAGGCUCAGAUAUAAUGAUAUGAUAUAGAGCCUAUAUGUCUGUUUGACAUGUAUAGAAGAAAGGAACCAUGUCGGCUCUUCUCAUGUCGAUGUGCAACGUUCAGUCAAACUGACUGGAGUGUGUUCUCCUCCCACCCCAGCCCCCUCUGGUGCAGACCCAGACAGUCACCAUCACAGACGUGUCCAACUCCCUCCCUACUGACGUCUCCACUAAGGAUGUCCCUAUCGUUCAGACCCAGACUAUCAGCUACGAGUCUGCAGAGGUGUCAGUUGAUGGGACAGACGGGGGGAAAGAGGCCACAGCACUGAGCAGCAUUCAGUCCAUUACCUCAGAGAGCAGCAGGGAAACCAGUGGCACCUCCAUUACUACCACCACCACUCACAUCUCCAAGGUGGUGAAAGGAGGAGCGUCAGCGACCAGAGUGAGAAGAGGAUCGUCAUCACUGCCGACUCAGAGGAUGACCAGGGAAGUGACGGCGGAGCAACAGCAAUGUGAUUCAGCUCAACACACAGUCAGGGAGCCCUAUGGAUCUGAUGCUCAAGACACAGAGCUUUGUAGUACAGACUAACCUCCCUGUCCCAGAGCCACUCACACCUCCUCAACCCAUAUGGACAUUGUGUCCUGACUGGUCCCCUCCAGAACCACUGUUGUUGCAUCUCUUGACCAGAGCCCUGGUUUAAAGUAGUGCAUUAUAAAGGGAAUAUGGUGCCAUUUGGGAUGCAUCCUGGUGUCUCCCCUGCCCAGUGGGAUAUGAACA